rnacentral:rRNA from 1 species
AACGAACGCUGGCGGCAGGCCUAACACAUGCAAGUCGAACGCUGUAGCAAUACAGAGUGGCAGACGGGUGAGUAACGCGUGGGAACCUACCUAGUGGUACGGAAUAGCUCAGGGAAACUUGAGGUAAUACCGUAUACGCCCGAAAGGGGAAAGAUUUAUCGCCUAUGGAUUAGCCCGCGCUAGGUUAGUUUGUUGGUGAGGUAAGAGCUCACCAAGACUACGAUCUAUAGCUGGUCUUAGAGGAUGAUCAGCCACACUGGAACUGAGACACGGUCCAGACUCCUACGGGAGGCAGCAGUGAGGAAUAUUGCGCAAUGGAGGAAACUCUGACGCAGCCAUGCCGCGUGAAUGAAGAAGGCCUUAGGGUUGUAAAAUUCUUUCAGAUGCGAAGAUAAUGACGGUACCAUCAGAAGAAGCUCCGGCUAAAUUCGUG